ACAAAGCCAGGAGGGACAGAUUGAUUAAGCUGCGAGAAAUCAUGAGAUUGUUGCCAUGUUUCAGUAAGACAAAGAAAGUCAAACUUACUAUCAUUCAGGAGAUCAUAAAUAAGAGGUCCUUUUUUUGUUAAGGAACGAAUAUUGAAUAAACCAAAAGUAAGAUCGGUCAUUUGAUGCUAGUUGUCCUGGAGAUGUUGGCCAAUACACUGUGAUCAACAGUCCGUAUUGACGUCUUUGGCAGACGCUGAGUGGAUGACCAAAGCGAUCGUAUUGGACCGGUGUCAUCGUAGAUAUAAUUCCGUCGUGACCCACGAUGGAUGUACUUCUGCCGAGGAUAGUAGAUAAUAUCCUGGUGAGAUUGAAGGGUCGGUGGUGGUUCGAUGACACGGAAUCUCAGUGAAAAGAGUUCCGCUGCAGUAUAUUGGAGAAUCGAUGUCACUGGAUGAAAAAUUAAAUAAAAUAUAAUCCACAUGAGAAGUCGGCUGAUCCGCAUUGUUGAAUGCAAACUCCAAGGAAUCUCUGAGAAGAAGGGACGUUGUCGGAGGCCACGGUAGGUAGUGUCGGGUUAAUCUAUCAGGUGAAGGUUAAGAAUCACUGAGCUGCUGAAGGUAAAACGGUCCUUUGAUCCUUAUAGUUAAAACAACCAAAAAAGCAACAAUAAUCAAAUAUUUAAAAUAAACAAAACAAACUAAAGCCGUCAAGGAGCAGCGGCAGCAGUACGCGCCAGCGUUCACUCCGUCCGAGCGUCCAAUUAUGAGAUAAUAAUAGUAAAAAUAAUAAUAUUUCUGCUUUUUAAUAACAAAUAAUUACAAUAAAAGUAAAACAUGUAUGCAUGUGUAUACACCAGGGAAGAAAUUAAAGUCACAUUCAAGUAAAAUUAUAAUUUUCAAUAAUGAAAAUAUAUAUUCUUUUUUCUUUCUUUUUUCAGAUUGUCAUCCGAUUGUUGUAAGUGAUCAGUCAAGCAGUCAUCCUGCAUCUUGGAUUUGUUCAGUUUGUACAGACAUAUGCAUUAUCUGAUAUUGAGUGAUGCCUUUUCUUUUUCUCCCAUUUAUUUCUGUGUCAGUAGCUGCUGCACCCCAAAGGCUCCACAGCACUUGUCACAAGUUUUUAAGCUGACUGUCAAACAUUUUCUACAUUUUUUUUAAUUUAGGUUCAUUAAAUUUAUGUGACCCUGGACUACAAAACCAUUUAUAAGGGUCAAUUUUUCUAAAUUGAGAUUUAUACAUCAUCUGAAAGCUACGGUGGCUGGGAAGUGCAAAACAACAUUACAAAGUGUGAAACACUUUUACGAAGCUCGAGACAAAUUUACAUUUUGGAAAACAUUUUUACCUAUCAUAAAACACAAUUACAUGGGAAAAACACUUUUACCAAGGACAAAACAAAUUUACAUUUUAGAAAACAAAUUAACAAGACGCAAAACACUUUUACCAGUCCCGAAACAAAUUUACAAUGACAGAUUCUUCACGGAAAGGGAAUGUACCACACACCGGAAGUGACGCGGUGCUCCACGCACGGAUUCACUGGUUCAACACCAGCGCUGCAUCGGACCACGUAAAAAGAGUGACUCUGAUGCAGUUAUAUUUGUAUAUAAAUGUAUACUUUCAAUGGAGCACCUAACCCACCCCUACCCUAAACUUACCCACUUCUGAACAAUAUAAAACACACACAGGCAAAUAUAAGUGCAGUCACGGGUAUUUAUUGCAAAAACUGUCCAUAAACAAGCAGUAUAAACCCAGCCGGCACAUGACCGACCUUCAACGUUGAAACAAUGUUUAAUGCUUAACGGUUGAAAACCAACCGGUACAUGACCAACCUUCAACGUUGAAAUAUGGUUGAAAUAAUGACAGUUGUUGUUUCAAUGUUGAAACUACGUUGAAAUAAUGUUUAAUGCUAAAUGGUUGAAAAAGGGUAAUAAGAACACUUAUAAAUCAACUUUGAUUUUUUUUUUCUUUUCUUUUUUUACAAGAUCUGUAUGUGAAUCACUUGAUGUAUGAACAGAAUAAAUAAUUUCUGCCUUUUAAGUUAUUAUUAAGAUCGUUAUUAUCAUUUUACAUUUUUAUCAUGAAACCUUCUGGUAUAACUAUUAACAACAAUAAAACUAAACACAUUGCGCUUCCUUACCACACUGAAACAAUUCCGAUUGGUUAUUUAACUUAUUUGCUUUGAUCAUGAUUGGUUAAGCUGGCUGUCAUUCAUGAAACUGGCCAAUGAAACUCUGCGCGCCAUUUUAAGUUUGAAAAUAUGACCGUUAUCCUGACCGUCUUUCUGAGUGAGGUCGCUGUGAGUGAGAGAGCUGCUGCGCAAUAAAACUGCUAGGUCGGUCCCGAAUUAUAACUAUUGUAUAAAAAACGUUUACCAUUAAAGCUAUUAUUAUAUUAUAGAUACUGGUACUAUUUAUGUAAACGCUGCCUAACUUUCAUCUGUUUGAUGGGCGCGCGCGUUGAACAUUCGAGGCGGGAGGUGGAGUGGAAGGAGUUUCCAUGGAAACGGGGCGGCAACUCAGCUGACAAGUAGCAAAAAAACUCCUGCUCUCACUGUUGUUUUUACUGCUUUCAGAAAUGGUUCAGUGUCAUCGGAAAAAGUCCGUUAGCAUCACAACCGUGAGCUAACCAGAGGCUAACUAUAAGAGUCUUCCAUGCUGAUGGCCGUGCAGCAGAGUUGGAGGGGACCUCUUGUCGAAGAACAUCUCCAAGACACUAUGAACCAUCUGACUAGCUUUUUGUGAAGACAGAAAAUCAAGAGACGUUGUGACAACCUGGACAGAAUUCAGCUCCAGAUCCACCCUCCACACCAGACUUCUCACUCACAAGGACUGCUGUCUACUAGCAUAUUAUGUGUUCUCUUUAGAGUUAGGUGCAUGGAAAUAUUACCUGAUUUUUAGA